GAGACGAAUGUGUACAUCUACAUCGGUUCAAGUAGUAACCGAUGUAGUAUAGUAGGAGCCCUUUCCCACGGAAAAUUCCGUUUAAGCAUCUUGUUCAACACAAAAAGUCGCGCGACCCAGCCAUCGUUGAAUCGCCAUUUCCCCCCGAAGAACCCUGUCUCGAAGCAUCUUGUUUGCUUUGUUUGGUGACCUGUGCAAGCCAUUUCCCCCGAAGAACCCUCUUUCAAAGCAUCAUCUUCUUCUACAAAGAAGUGCGUGCAAGCGGUAUGGUGGAACCCUAAAUCGUGUUUCUUCUCUACACGAAAGUUGAAGGUGUGAUAGGCGAUUUGUUUCGCUUGGCCCGAGCAUUGUGGUGAACCUAAGGAAUUUAGUUUUGGUUAGGGUUCCAGGGGGUUUAAGUUGGUGGAUGCGGUUGUAAAAGUUCCCUUCUGGUAGCAUUGAGGCACAAAAGUGGCUUGAGGUUAGCUAUUGAGUUUUAUUAGGUAACAUGUUAUAAAACUUGAUUCCAGGGUUAUCGUGUGUAGUUUAUUAUUAUUUUUAUCUUAAACAUGAUUAUAACAAAAGUCACAUUAUUUUUUCAAUUUUUUACAUUGGUGACAUUACAAAGUAUGAAGUCCUAUUACUUUCUAAUUGAACUCCUUUCACUGAUGAAGGUUGCAGCCAUAUUUUUUAGUUGCAUAUGAAUUCUACUUAUAAAGGAUUUACUGAUUUUAAUCCAAGCCAAGCCAUUCUAUUUGGUUGAAGUUUUCCACAAUAUUGAGAAGCUAUGGAGUGGUUCAAGGAAGUGAUGUCUAUUUUAUAUAGUUUUAAUGUGUUCUAACAACCCAAUAAUUUUAUUGUCUCUUUCAACUAUGUUUCCAAUGCAGCUUCAUAACAACAAACUAUGAUACCCUAUACAAUGGUCAAAGUUAAUUUAGAGCUCCCAAAUCAACAACUUCAACUUGCUUUAUUUGGAGUUGGCUCGGGAAUGUUAGAAUUGGAGACUAAUAAGAACUAGAGCAACCAAUCAACACUAUAGUUUGCUGCCAACCUUUAUAUUGUUCUAUAGUACUAAAUUUUCAUUCAUCACAAUCUUUUUAUGUUGUUUUUUGUAAUAUAUUUUUCUAAGUUAUAGCUGGCUGUCAUAGUCUUAUAGGGAUAAGACUGUAAUUCCUUUUUAUUUGUCUAUUCUAUUCAUUAUACUUCUAGUUUUGAUAUAUAUAAAUAUACAUUAUGAAGCUAAGUGAAGUAAGACACACUUAAGCUUGUCUUUGGUAUUCAA